AGUGAACGCUGGCGGUAGGCCUAACACAUGCAAGUCGAACGGCAGCACAGUAAGAGCUUGCUCUUACGGGUGGCGAGUGGCGGACGGGUGAGGAAUACCUCGGAAUCUACUUUUUCGUGGGGGAUAACGUAGGGAAACUUACGCUAAUACCGCAUACGACCUACGGGUGAAAGCAGGGGAUCUUCGGACCUUGCGCGAGUGAAUGAGCCGAUGUCGGAUUAGCUAGUUGGCGGGGUAAAGGCCCACCAAGGCGACGAUCCGUAGCUGGUCUGAGAGGAUGAUCAGCCACACUGGAACUGAGACACGGUCCAGACUCCUACGGGAGGCAGCAGUGGGGAAUAUUGGACAAUGGGCGCAAGCCUGAUCCAGCCAUACCGCGUGGGUGAAGAAGGUCUUCGGGUUGUAAAGCCCUUUUGUUGGGAAAGAAAAGCAGCAGGUUAAUACCCCGCUGUUCUGACGGUACCCAAAGAAUAAGCACCGGCUAACUUCGUG
rnacentral:rRNA from 1 species